GGUGAGGCCGUGGCCGUCAGACUCACAGGGAUUCUCAAACACCCAUCCGGAGUUUCGCUUUAUCAGGUCCAUGACACUCUGGUCACACCCUCCCAGCCUGGAAAAGAAGGGGCCUGUCACCCACUCAGGGUCAAGACCCCGGGGCCCGGUGAGAGGAGACGGAGCUCAGGAGUCCAGGCCAGGCCAGCCAGCAGUGAGGCCAGAGCUUCCAUCUUCUGCCAGAUGCCCCGAUGCCCGGAAACCUGUUCUCGGAGAGUGGACGGCGUGGGAGUCCUGAGAGGGGCGGACACUCCCAUUCACUUCCUGAGAGAUCCUCAGUGCCAGAUCUCCACCAGGAACGCUGAAUGCUGCUGAGGACACAACAGGAGACUCGACAGACGGGAGAAUUCCCGAAAAAGGCCUGCUGAGAGGACAGGCUUCCCCAGCUCUGACCACAGCCUGCAGCCCAGAUGACCCAGGACAGGGAUGCAUGAAGGAGCAUAGUCAGAGCAGUGCCCGCCGCGGUAUUGAAGGUGGGAGUGCCACCUGGAGGCCCCAGGGACACAGAUGUCAUACUUUUCUGUGUCUUUGGACGUCCAGUGACUUUUGGGCAGGACGUUGUUGAUGACGGCAGCCCUGCAUCUACUGUCACCCUCUAAACAGCACUGACUUUUGUUCUGGGAUGAAUUCUGCCCUCCCAAAAUUCCUGCGUUGAAGCCCCAGAUCCCAUGGUCACUGUUUCAGGAGAUGGGACUCUUAGGAGACAAUCGAGAUUAAGUGAGGUCAAAGGGAGUGGCCCUAAUUUAACAGGCUGAUGUCCUUAUUAGGAGAAAAAGAGGCACCCAGAGAGCGCUCCCUGCCAGGUGAGGACACAGCGAGGGGCUGCCUUCUGCGAAUGGGCAGGAAGCCCUCACCAGAAACUGCACUUUCCGGCACCUUAAUCUUGGACUUCCACCCUCCAGAACGGUGAGGAAAUACAGUUCUGUUGUUUAAGGUGCCCAGUCUGGGGUAUUUUGUCACGGGAGCCUGAGCUGACAGCGAGAGUGACAGCCCCUCCAGCAGGAAAUCCAAGUCCAGGCGAAGCUCCUUGAACCCGUGGGCUUCGGCCAGGCACAGCUGCGCAAAGUCACGGCUGUUUCCCAGGAGCCCCUAACUUGUCAG
rnacentral:lncRNA from 1 species